UAGUUUGUAGUCGGCCACCUUCUAAUCCCUGUUAAUUCCACUGUCCAACUGAUGAUGGCCAUAUAUAGUAAACAAACUUUUUUCUACUACAGGUCCCUCGUAGAAGUACAAAGAACGCGAGAACUAUACUGGAUAAGCUUAUUAGACUGAGUGAUAGACACUCGUCGUUUGUGACGUCUGCCCCUUGCCAUAGCGAAUAGGCGUUAUGCGGUAUUCUUCAACGCUCCGGCAAAAUUCAAGGCACGACUCAGUAGCGCGUUGAACUCGAAAAGACAGGGCUCUAUUUUGGGCCAACUUAAAGCAAGUUCUAUCGGAACAGCCAUUCGGUAAGUUUAACAAACUGUAUACUCUGCCUCCGUGCCGAAUUGAUCCGCAACUUAUUUUACGUACUGGAACAGCUGUAGACCUCGCCCGGCGAGCGCCGUUCCGAAGGUUUGCUUCAAAGGCUUGCUUUGUGCCUAGGUUUCCUCUACUCUCCGCAGAGAUAAGUUAGUUGUCGACGAUUCACCUGAUUUCACAGAUCACUAAGAUGUUUGUAGGACAUCACAAAAGUGGCCUUAGAGUGGUAAGAUACGUGUGCUUCUUUUAGAAAAUGACACUUACACAUAACGUAUCUGCUUCAACUAGAAACUUCUAUGCUUAUGGAUUAAACAGCCUAAUAUUAAGACAUAGGCUUUCAGUUAAGUAGCUGUCUGUAGCAUAGUCUUCGUCCGACACCCGUUAAAUUAAUCUGAGUUUGAGCUUCAUGGAGCAUCGGGACAACGCCUAAACAUUACCGGAAGCUUUCAGUAAGAGGUUACCCCGUCAAUCUGCGUAACCAUCUAAUUAGGUAAAUACUGUAGAACUUCUAGUUAGAAAGAAAGCUGUAGAGCGUUCACUAUUAUAAAUGAGUGAAUAUGAUGGCUGCAUGAUGCCUUCUUAUUCGUGCCAAUCGUAGUGAUGAUAAAGAAUCGAAUGUGAAGAAGACAAAAGUCCUUAGAAUAAACUUUUACGAAAAUUUACUCUCUGUGAAAUCGCUUGCCUAUGCUGUUUCGGCUGUAAUAUAUGAAGCUUAUAUUGGCACGGCAUCGUAUAAGCUUGGCGAUCUUCCACCCGAUAGUGGGUUAUCAUCUUGGCAUAUAUGCUACAUGUACAAAUUGGAUCAAACGACUACGACUCCAUUAUAAACCUUAAAGCGCGUUUAAUAAAUUUUAUUAACAGAACGUAGACUUUAUCAAUGUAAAACUAUGUAGCAAUAGUCCAGUUGCAGGUAGAAUGCACGUAUAAAAUUAUUUUACCGGGCCUCCAAACAGUUCCGUCAUGCCUUCAGUGUGUCCUUGGUGUCA